rnacentral:rRNA from 1 species
UACGGAGGGUGCGAGCGUUGUCCGGAAUCACUGGGCGUAAAGGGCGCGUAGGCGGCUCAUGAAGGCUGUGGUGAAAGUCCGGGGCUCAACCUCGGAUCGGCCGUGGCGACUCGUGGGCUGGAGCACUGUAGAGGCGGGUGGAAUUCCGGGUGUAGCGGUGGAAUGCGUAGAUAUCGGAAGGAGCACCUGUGGCGAAAGCGGCUCACUGGACCAUUACUGACGCUGAGGCACGAAAGCUAGGGGAGCGAUAAGG